GAUGAACGCUGGCGGCGUGCCUAAUACAUGCAAGUCGAGCGAACAGACGAUGAGCUUGCUCCUCUGACGUUAGCGGCUGACGUGUGAGUAACACGUGGAUAACCUACCUAUAAGACUGGGAUAACUUCGGGAAACCGGAGCUAAUAACGUAUAAUAUAUUGAUCCUCAUUGUUGAAUAGUAAAAGACGGAUUUGCUGUAACUUAUAGAUGGAUCCUCGCCGCAUUAUCUAGUUGGUAAGGUAACGGAUUACCAAGGCAACGAUGCGUAGCCGACCUGAGAGGGUGAUCGGCCACACUGGAACUGAGCCACGGUCCAGACUCCUACGGGAGGCACCAGUAGGGAAUCUUCCGCAAUGGGCGAAAGCCUGACGGAGCAACGCCGCGUGAGUGAUGAAGGUCUUCGGAUCGUAAAACUCUGUUAUUAGGGAAGAACAAAUGUGUAAGUAACUAUGCACGUCUUGACGGUACCUAAUCAGAAAGCCACGGCUAACUACGUG
rnacentral:rRNA from 1 species